rnacentral:lncRNA from 1 species
GAUAUUGGGAAGAAAAAUUCUAGGGAAGGGUCUUUGCCAUAUUUGCCAAGUCAUGAUUGAUCUAAGAAAUAUAUAAAACAACCACUCUUUGGCCGCAUCAUCCAAAGAGAAUGGGAAUGCUCGUAGCUUGAUUUACUCUUUAGACGCACCUUAGGGUUUCAUGCUGGAACAGACCACAUGGAAUUCCUUGAGGUGUUUAUGCAGGUUCUCAUUCUCUAUACCCUAAAAGCUAGGGAGUAGGUGGAUUAAACCAUAUUUUAGUUCAAAGGAGACAUCUAAAUCUGGGCAGUGAUGCAGAGGGGUUGCUGGUUUUGGGGGGGGGGGGGCAGUUGCAAGCUCCCGCAACGUGCGUUCUUGUUCCAUGUUUUAUGGUUUUGGUACUGCAAAUUGAGUGUUGUCCUGAUGCAUUUUCCUUCUUUCUCUAGUCUGUCUCCUCAAACGUU